rnacentral:rRNA from 1 species
AAUUGGAGGGCAAGUCUGGUGCCAGCAGCCGCGGUAAUUCCAGCUCCAAUAGCGUAUAUUAAAGUUGUUGCAGUUAAAAAGCUCGUAGUUGAAUUUCGGGGUUAGUAGGUUGGUCAUGCCUCCGGUAUGUACUGAUCUCACUGAUUCCUCCUUCCUUAUGAACCGUAAUGCCAUUAAUUUGGUGUUGCGGGGAAUUUGGACUGUUACUUUGAAAAAAUUAGAGUGUUUAAAGCAGGCUAACGCUUGAAUACAUUAGCAUGGAAUAAUGAAAUAGGACGUUCGAUCUUAUUUUGUUGGUUUCUAGGAUUGACGUAAUGAUUAAUAGGGAUAGUUGGGGGCAUUAGUAUUCAAUUGUCAGAGGUGAAAUUCUUGGAUUUAUUGAAGACUAACUACUGCGAAAGCAUUUGCCAAGGAUGUUUUCAUUAAUCAAGAACGAAAGUUAGGGGAUCGAAGACGAUCAGAUACCGUCGUAGUCUUAACCAUAAACUAUGCCGACUAGGGAUCGGAUGAUGUUAAUUUUUUAAUGACUCAUUCGGCGCCUUACGGGAAACCAAAGUGU